AGUGAACGCUGGCGGUAGGCCUAACACAUGCAAGUCGAACGGCAGCACAGUAAGAGCUUGCUCUUACGGGUGGCGAGUGGCGGACGGGUGAGGAAUAACUCGGACUUUACUUUUUCGUGAGGGAUAGCGUAGGGAAACUUACGCUAAUACCGCAUACGGCCUACGGGUGAAAGCAGGAGAUCUUCGGACCUCGCGCGAUUGCAUGAGCCGAUGUAGGAUUAGCUAGUUGGCGGGGUAAAGGCCCACCACGGCGGCGAUCCGUAGCUGGUCGGAGAGGAUGAUCGGCCACAUUGGAACAGAGACACGGUCCAGACUCCUAAGGGGCGCCCCAGUGGGGAAUAGUGGGCAAUGGUCGGAAACCUGGUCCAACCAUCCCGCGCGUGUUAAGAAGACCUUCGGGUUGUAAAGCCCUCUUGUUGGGAAAAAAAAGCUGCAAGCUAAGACCACGCUGUUCUGACGGUACCAACAGAAGAAGCACCGGCUAACUACGUG
rnacentral:rRNA from 1 species